rnacentral:lncRNA from 1 species
UCUCGCUCUUGUCAAGGAUCGACUCUGGAUCUUCCAUCAGUUACAGAAAAAAAAACACUAUUGAUCUUUUAUCAGUUACGUUAAUCUCCGACCUUUUUCAAAAUCAGUGUAAUGACGUACAACGCGGAUAGGCUCCGUCUCUCAUUGUCCUCAUUCAUACGGCCGUUAAAUUCAGUAGAUAUUUUUAUGUGUGCCUGACAGAUUUAGAAAAGAGAUUUGUUAUAAAGGAAUAAAGAAGAAAUGGUGGUCUAAUGGGCGUGAAGAGAGGGUGGACCGUAAACACAUGGUACGUUACGGCCCACAUCACGUGUGAUUUCAUGGUAUCGCCAAUCUCUCCCUCCACUCUCGUGAUUCCUUCUGCCGCUUGUCUCUAUCACGUUUCAUGUUUCACAAAAAAACAUUACUCUCUCGUUUUUUUUUUUUUUUUUUUAUUAUUAUACACAGUUUUUCCAAAGGUUUUCUAGACCCAAGAAAAGUCGCUGCAGUCCGAAUGUGAAAUCUGCAGUGGCCGGGAAUCGAACCCAAUUGACAGUACUCACAGCUGUGAGCCCUUUACCAUCAGAGCUAGAUGCCCCGGUUUUUUUCUUUUUAAGCAUCAUGCUUCAUUUCUGUAAUUCGAGCUUUAAAUUAUUUUAAUGUAAAGUGAUGUAUAUAAUUUAUUUCAAUUAUUUAUAAUUUAAGUCUGUAAUAAAUAGUAGCUUAUAGUUAUUGAUCAACAGUAAACAAACAGUAAGAAAUUGUAGUAAAUCUUAGUUAUACUAGAGAUUUUUUCCGCGCUUCGCGCGGAUUGUGUCUUAUAAAUUUAUUUUAUUUAUAAUAUUAUUUGUCGGUUUUUUUCUUUUACAUUAAUUUUUGUUUUUCCAAUGUUAGUUUUUCUUAAUUUAAAUUUAUAUGUUUAUAGUUUUUCUUUUUUCUGGUUGUAGAUGGAGAAUUAUAUUUUUUAUUGAUGGUUUUUGUAUGUGACAUAAACUUUUUGAAAUUUUAAAAUAAUGUUAUAUAUAGUACAAUUAACACAUUAAAGAAGAGAAACAUAUUUAAGCAUAUUUUAUACAGGUUUUAUAUACAUAAUUUUAAACAUUAUAUAUGUAUAUAUUAUAAGUUUGAAACAUGUAAAUGCUUUCUAAAGUUAAAUACUUGUUCUGAGUUUACAUAACUUAUCGAAAGUUUUAUCUUUUU